rnacentral:rRNA from 1 species
GAUGAACGCUAGCGGGAGGCCUAACACAUGCAAGCCGAGCGGUAUGUAUUUUUAGCUUGCUAAGAAUGCAGAGAGCGGCGCACGGGUGCGUAACAUGUGUGCAACUUGCCUUUAUCAGGGGGAUAGCCUUUAGAAAUGAAGAUUAAUACCCCAUAAUAUAUUGAUUGGCAUCAAUUAAUAUUGAAAACUUCGGUGGAUAAAGAUAGGCACGCACAAGAUUAGCUAGUUGGUACGGUAACGGCGUACCAAGGCGACGAUCUUUAGGGGGCCUGAGAGGGUGAUCCCCCACACUGGUACUGAGACACGGACCAGACUCCUACGGGAGGCAGCAGUGAGGAAUAUUGGACAAUGGGUGAGAGCCUGAUCCAGCCAUCCCGCGUGAAGGAUGACGGACCUAUGGUUUGUAAACUUCUUUUAUAUAGGAAUAAACCUACCCUCGUGAGGGUAGCUGAAUGUACUAUACGAAUAAGCACCGGCUAACUCCGUGCCAGCAGCCGCGGUAAUACGGAGGGUGCAAGCGUUAUCCGGAUUUAUUGGGUUUAAAGGGUCCGUAGGCGGGCUAAUAAGUCAGUAGUGAAAUCUUGUCGCUUAACGAUAAAACUGCUAUUGAUACUGUUAGUCUUGAGUGUAUUUGAAGUAGCUGGAAUGAGUAGUGUAGCGGUGAAAUGCGUAGAUAUUACUCAGAACACCAAUUGCGAAGGCAGGUUACUAAGAUACAACUGACGCUGAUGGACGAAAGCGUGGGGAGCGAACAGG